rnacentral:rRNA from 1 species
AGUGAACGCUGGCGGUAGGCCUAACACAUGCAAGUCGAACGGCAGCACAGUAAGAGCUUGCUCUUACGGGUGGCGAGUGGCGGACGGGUGAGGAAUACAUCGGAAUCUACUUUUUCGUGGGGGAUAACGUAGGGAAACUUACGCUAAUACCGCAUACGACCUACGGGUGAAAGCAGGGGAUCUUCGGACCUUGCGCGAUUGAAUGAGCCGAUGUCGGAUUAGCUAGUUGGCGGGGUAAAGGCCCACCAAGGCGACGAUCCGUAGCUGGUCUGAGAGGAUGAUCCGCCACACUGGAACUGAGACACGGUCCAGACUCCUACGAGAGGCAGCAGUGGGGAAUAUUGGACAAUGGGCGCAAGCCUGAUCCAGCCAUACCGCGUGGGUGUAGAAGGCCUUCGGGUUGUAAAGCCCUUUUGUUGGGAAAGAAAAGCAGCAGGUUAAUCCCCCGCUGUUCUGACGGUACCCAAAGAAUAAGCACCGGCUAACUUCGUG